rnacentral:rRNA from 1 species
UACGUAGGUGGCGAGCGUUGUCCGGAUUUACUGGGCGUAAAGAGCGCGCAGGCGGUCGUUCAAGUCGCGUGUGAAAGCCCCCGGCUCAACUGGGGAGGGUCACGCGAUACUGAUCGACUCGAAGGCAGGAGAGGGAAGUGGAAUUCCCGGUGUAGUGGUGAAAUGCGUAGAUAUCGGGAGGAACACCAGUGGCGAAGGCGGGUCUCUGGGCAUCUCCUGACGCUGAGGCGCGAAAGCGUGGGGAGCAAACGGG